rnacentral:rRNA from 1 species
UGUUUCGGCAAGGGGGUCAUCCCGACUUACCAACCCGAUGCAAACUGCGAAUACCGGAGAAUGUUAUCACGGGAGACACACGGCGGGUGCUAACGUCCGUCGUGAAGAGGGAAACAACCCAGACCGCCAGCUAAGGUCCCAAAGUCAUGGUUAAGUGGGAAACGAUGUGGGAAGGCCCAGACAGCCAGGAUGUUGGCUUAGAAGCAGCCAUCAUUUAAAGAAAGCGUAAUAGCUCACUGGUCGAGUCGGCCUGCGCGGAAGAUGUAACGGGGCUAAACCAUGCACCGAAGCUGCGGCAGCGACGCUGAUGCGUUGUUGGGUAGGGGAGCGUUCUGUAAGCCUGUGAAGGUGUGCUGUGAGGCAUGCUGGAGGUAUCAGAAGUGCGAAUGCUGACAUAAGUAACGAUAAAGCGGGUGAAAAGCCCGCUCGCCGGAAGACCAAGGGUUCCUGUCCAACGUUAAUCGGGGCAGGGUGAGUCGACCCCUAAGGCGAGGCCGAAAGGCGUAGUCGAUGGGAAACAGGUUAAUAUUCCUGUACUUGGUGUUACUGCGAAGGGGGGACGGAGAAGGCUAUGUUGGCCGGGCGACGGUUGUCCCGGUUUAAGCGUGUAGGCUGGUUUUCCAGGCAAAUCCGGAAAAUC